GGAUUAGUUUUUCAUUUUCUGGUUAUCCAACUAUUUUUGUAAAAUUUCUUAAAUAUAACCCAUUACAAGACACUUUUCUUUCUGGUUUGGCUCGAAAUUUCACCGAUUCAAAUCUAAAUCUUUAGUACGUAAACCGGUCUACAUUAAAUAAACCAAUCCAUAUACUGUAAUUAAAGUUACACAAGUAAACCGGAUCCAACCUAAGACCAUCUCUAUUGGGGGUAUCUCAUAAGAGUUUCUCAUAAUUAAAAAAAUAAAAAUAAUGAAAAUGAAGGAAAGAGAGUGUAGAAAGUUUCUCACUUGAAAAACUCUGAGAUACUCUUUACAACCCAUUGUGACAAUUCUCAUCUUACUAUUGGUUUAAUUUUUUAACAAAAAUAAUUUUUUUAAUCAAAUAAUCAAAUUAUAAUAUAAUAUUAAAUUUUUUUUGUUCGAAAAAUUUUGUGGGUUUAUCAUGGAUGGAAAUGCCCUAUGCUUUGACCUUACACACAUCCCCGUGAUUGG
rnacentral:sRNA from 1 species